rnacentral:rRNA from 1 species
AACGAACGCUGGCGGCAGGCUUAACACAUGCAAGUCGAGCGCAUCCUUCGGGGUGAGCGGCAGACGGGUGAGUAACACGUGGGGAUCUGCCCAAUGGUACGGAAUAGCUCCGGGAAACUGGAAUUAAUACCGUAUGUGCCCGGGAGUAGAGAUAUUUUCGGGGAAAGAUUUAUCGCCAUUGGAUGAACCCGCGUCGGAUUAGCUAGUUGGUGUGGUAAAGGCGCACCAAGGCGACGAUCCGUAGCUGGUCUGAGAGGAUGAUCAGCCACACUGGGACUGAGACACGGCCCAGACUCCUACGGGAGGCAGCAGUGGGGAAUAUUGGACAAUGGGCGCAAGCCUGAUCCAGCCAUGCCGCGUGAGUGAUGAAGGCCUUAGGGUUGUAAAGCUCUUUCGCCGACGAAGAUAAUGACGGUAGUCGGAGAAGAGGCCCCGGCUAACUUCGUGCCAGCCGCCGCCGUAACAC